UCGACCUACGGGGGGCAGCAGUGGGGAAUAUUGCACAAUGGGCGCAAGCCUGAUGCAGCGACGCCGCGUGCGGGAUGGGGGCCUUCGGGUUGUAAACCGCUUUUGUUCAAGGGCAAGGCACGGUCUUUGGCCGUGUUGAGUGGAUUGUUCGAAUAAGCACCGGCUAACUACGUGCCAGCAGCCGCGGAAAUACGUAGGGCGCAAGCGUUAUCCGGUUUUAUUGGGCGUAAAGGGCUCGUAGGCGGUU
rnacentral:rRNA from 1 species